AUACGGAGGGAGCAAGCGUUAUUCGGAAUCACUGGGCGUAAAGGACGCGUAGGCGGGUUUGUAAGUCAGGUGUGAAAUCCUACAGCUCAACUGUAGAACUGCACUUGAAACUACAGACCUAGAGUAUGGAAGGGGCAGAUGGAAUUAGUGGUGUAGGGGUAAAAUCCGUAGAUAUCACUAGGAAUACCGAAAGCGAAGGCGAUCUGCUGGGACAUCACUGACGCUGAGGCGUGAAGCGUGGGGAGCAAACAGGAUUAGAAACCCCAGUAGUCC
rnacentral:rRNA from 1 species